rnacentral:rRNA from 1 species
GAAUCCUACGGGGGGCAGCAGUGAGGAAUAUUGGUCAAUGGGCGAGAGCCUGAACCAGCCAAGUCGCGUGAGGGAGUACUGCCCUAUGGGUUGUAAACCUCUUUUGUCGGGGAGCAAAAGCCGGACGUGUCCGGCUGUGAGAGUACCCGAAGAAAAAGCAUCGGCUAACUCCGUGCCAGCAGCCGCGGUAAUACGGAGGAUGCGAGCGUUAUCCGGAUUUAUUGGGUUUAAAGGGUGCGUAGGUUGUUUUUUAAGUCAGCGGUGAAAGUUUGUGGCUCAACCAUAAAAUUGCCGUUGAAACUGGA